rnacentral:misc_RNA from 1 species
GUGAAUCAUCAAAUUUUUGAACGCAUAUUGCACUCUCUGGUAUUCCGGAGAGUAUGCCUAUUUGAGGGUCAUUUGAAAUAAUAUAAAUUCCAAGAUUUCUCGGAAUUUAAAAUGGGUUGUCCAUUUUUUGGGUUCGCCUAAAAUCCAAGACAAGCUCAUUUUCUUGGGUUGGGUGAUACUUUCAUUUACCUCGUAAUUUAACCAGGAAUAAUCGGCGGUUUUAGGAUUUUUGCAAG